rnacentral:rRNA from 1 species
GACGAACGCUGGCGGCGUGCUUAACACAUGCAAGUCGAACGGAAAGGCCCUGCUUUUGUGGGGUGCUCGAGUGGCGAACGGGUGAGUAACACGUGAGUAACCUGCCCUUGACUUUGGGAUAACUUCAGGAAACUGGGGCUAAUACCGGAUAGGAGCUCCUGCUGCAUGGUGGGGGUUGGAAAGUUUCGGCGGUUGGGGAUGGACUCGCGGCUUAUGAGCUUGUUGGUGGGGUAGUGGCUUACCAAGGCUUUGACGGGUAGCCGGCCUGAGAGGGUGACCGGCCACAUUGGGACUGCGAUACGGCCCAGACUCCUACGGGAGGCAGCAGUGGGGAAUAUUGCACAAUGGGCGGAAGCCUGAUGCAGCAACGCCGCGUGCGGGAUGACGGCCUUCGGGUUGUAAACCGCUUUCGCCUGUGACGAAGCGUGAGUGACGGUAAUGGGUAAAGAAGCACCGGCUAACUACGUG